rnacentral:rRNA from 1 species
UACACACCGCCCGUCACACCAUGGAAGUAGGUUGCACCAGAAGCAGGUAGUCUAACCUUCGGGAGGACGCUUACCACGGUGUGGCUUAUGACAGGGGUG